GCGUUCUUGUCGGGGUGCGCUACGAGGCGCUGAGAUCGGGUAGUCCCGGAUCCCGUUGAACCUGAUCAGGCUAGGCGCGCCGCAUGGCGGUGCGUCAACCUGCGUAGGGAACAAGAGGGCGUCCGCA
rfam:Pseudomonas oryzihabitans strain TSDA-ARS-TSMARC-56511, complete genome.